rnacentral:rRNA from 1 species
GGGGAAUCUUCCGCAAUGGGCGAAAGCCUGACGGAGCAACGCCGCGUGAGUGAAGACGGCCUUCGGGUUGUAAAGCUCUUUUGUCCGGGACGCAAGACAGGUAUAGGAAAUGAUAUCUGAGUGACGGUACCGGAAGAAAAAGCCACGGCUAACUACGUGCCAGCAGCCGCGGUAAUACGUAGGUGGCAAGCGUUGUCCGGAAUUAUUGGGCGUAAAGCGCGCGCAGGCGGCCUUUUAAGUCCAUCUUAAAAGCGGGGGGCUCAACCCCAUGAUGGGAUGGAAACUGGGAGGCUGGAGUAUCGGAGAGGAAAGUGGCAUUCCUAGUGUAGCGGUGAAAUGCGUAGAGAUUAGGAAGAACACCGGUGGCGAAGGCGACUUUCUGGACGACAACUGACGCUGAGGCGCGAAAGCGUGGGGAGCAAAC